rnacentral:tRNA from 1 species
GGGGCUGUCAUCUAACGGAAGGAUGCGAGUCUGGCAGACUCGAAAUAGGGGUUCGAUUCCCCUCAGCUCCACGA